rnacentral:ncRNA from 2 species
AAUCCGGUGAAAAUCCGGAGCGGUUGCGCCACUGUGAUCGACGUCGGGCAUAUGUCCGAAUUCGAGAGUCAGAAAA